rnacentral:misc_RNA from 1 species
UACCCUCUCUCUUUCCUUGUUCUGUGAAUCCUGAAACAUCAAACAUGGGGGUCACCAUUGAAGAACUUUGCUGUGGCAGUAAAACCCAGAAAUACCUAGUCACCAUCCACCACCGCCUUGUCCAGGCCACGGUUACCUCCUCACGGACUGUGGUAGACAGGUGGAUCAAAGACCACCAUCAAGCUCCAUGCCACCAUCGCCAGCAAAAUUGUUGGCCUUGACAUAGAAUGGCGUCCAACUUUCAUACGCGGCAGCAGCCAGAAUCCGGUGGGAAUACUCCAACUCUGCAUC